AGUAACCUAUAUACUGAGAUUUUUGUUUCUAUAUUCCUUAUUAAUACAUGUUUGAAUGAUGAAGUCUGCAUGGUAAUUGUUGGUUGAUACACAAGCUACCAGAGCUUUGCUACAGUAUUUACUAGGAGUUUGCAGCUUAUGCUAAAUUCUGUGUAGUGUUAGAAUCUCGGUCGGUUGAAUAAAACCUGAAUGGCUAAUUUAUUCAGCUGCAGGUUGUAAUAAUUUUGAUGUUGGCUAUUGAUGGUGCAUGGAUGCUUUGUAUGUGGCAUGCAACUCUUAGGGGGCAGCAGGAGCAUUAGCGGCAACUGGCAAUCUAGUUUGGCUGGCUAGAACUUCACAUCUCCUGCAGCAUCAGUUUGGAGAAUUAUCAGCCAAAUUUUAGAUUUGGGAGAUUACAAAAAAAAUGAACUCGGUGGUUACUGUUCAAGAUUGUGUGGAGCCACUCCAGUCACUCCGAAGUGCUGGCCAGGAGGAAUAAUUUCACUAUCGCAUUCUUCCCUACUUUUCAUGAUUUCUUUAUUGAACAUAAUUAUGCAGAGCUCUAAAUUCAAAAUCUGGUAACGUCUGGACAUCAAUAUGAGUGUUUUCUUUUCUUUGAAACUAUUCUAUACUUUGUGAUGGUGAUCAUAUCUUGGGUUAUAGUACAUGAAUCAUUUAAAUAAUCAAUGUAGCUAAGUUUGCUAUAAAACGCUGUCGGUUUAUAAUAUUCAGUUGCAUAAUAAUUCUUUGGUGGAGAGAAUUUUUUUCCCCGGCAAGAUAGUGAAAUUAUGUGGCUUGAGCACAAGAGAGCAGUGGUAGUUGCAAAGAAUGAUUUCCUGGGGUGUCCUAACUUUGGCUCCCCCUUCAACGCAGCCACCAUUUCCAUUUACUCCUCUAAAGAACGAGAUAGUGCCCAAACCUAAUACCACCAGUCCACUCCCUCCAGUAUUUGGUACACCUUGUGUGCACAUCUGCGAGGAUCAAAGCUGGAAGGCCAGCUAUUUUGUUAAUUAAAAGAGUCCUCACGGCAACCCCUGGAUAGGCUUGUGCUGAUUAUCCAGAAAUUGAACGUGGAGUAAAACUUGUGAGGCUUUUCUAAUUAUACGAACAGAAGAUCCAAUUCGUGACUAGUUGCUGAUGUAUGCAAUUUUUUAAAAGGCUCAUCAUGUCACUGGUAGCUUUGAAAAUGCACUGAAAGCUUUUCUGACCUUGGUUCUCAUCCUGAAAAUGUGCUUAAUAGGAAUAAGCAAGGAGAUACAAAUCGUACAUAUUUGCCAUCCUCUUUCUUUCCACUUUGUUUGAUUUCUGGCUUCUAUAAUAGCUCUUUAUCCUGUUCUCAGGUGAUGUGAAAGAUAGGGCCGAAAAACGUAUACACAUGGAGAGUUUAAGAAGAAAAAGAAGAGAAGAGAAGAAACGUUUACAUGAGAAAAAAAGGUUAAAAGAAGCUGACGAACAGAAUUCUUCUUUGGAGAUUUAAUUCUCUCCUUUUCAAUUUAUUGGGUAACUGAGGCUUUUCAUAAACUGCAUUCGAUUGAUCACCAAAAAAAGAAUACAGAAAAUAUGCAAUGUCAUUUUAGAUGUACAACUACAUGUUGAACAAAGUUUUUUUAGCAGGAUAUGUGAGCAUCCUUAUCUGAAGCUAGAACAUGUAAUGUUAAUGUUAUUGAUUCAAAUCAAGCUGUUAACCCAAACAAGUGAAUGCGAUCGAGGGGUCUGAACUCCAGAUGUCGACCCCAUUCAGAUGUUUAUUCGUGAGUGCUUAGAAUUGUGAGUAGUUUACGAUGCUAUGAACACAGUAAGUAUAUACAGUUCAGAAUGCUUGCUUGUGAGAAUCGUUA